UGUACUUUUUCUAAGCCAGCACUUCGCUAGUUGUCUGUAACCUCUUUCUUUAUAAAGAUUUGUGCAGUCAUUAUUUACCUUGUAGAGUCCUCAGUGUUAAAUAUUUAAUUUAAAUGUAUCCCAUCAACUUUCUAAAUAUCCAUGAAACAAUACGCUCACGUUUCUCCUAUUUAUCCCACCUAUGUCCAUGCUAUUUAUUAACAAUUGUUGUUUCAAUUUUAACUGCAGUAAUUGAGAAUAAAAUUUCAGUAGAUCAGGAUAUAUCUUUCCCUUUUGUUCACUUUUAUAUUUUCUCUCUGAUUUUUCUGCUAGGCAUAGUUUUACAUAUUGUGCUUCAAGAGAUGUAUCUAUUUCCACAACAUCACAUGCUAGGUAGGGAAGCAUGGCUUUCAUGUAAUGGGUUAUUCCCCAGUAACUUAUUUUGAGGGGCUUUCUAAAGAUGUCUCCACUAUUUAAGACCAGCUGCUUUAGACCUCUGAAGUGAUCGGUGGUGAGUUCCCAACUGCUUUUAGUUAUAUUACCUACCAAAAUCAUAGACGCUUUUCUUUUUAAGAGUUGGGCUGCAGUCAUUCUAUAUCAUUCAGGAUAGUAACAUUUGCUUAAAUUUUAGGCAGCAGCUGAAUUGGGCCCUCUGGAUUACACAUCUACACAUAAGCAGUGGGUUUAUUACAGAUAUUACAUAGAAGUUGCACCAGAAGAGAGAGAGGUCCAACCAAGACUUUGAAUAUCAGUACAUUAGCUUCAGCCAGGAUUCUGCCCUUUCAAAGAUAGAGAAAUUGAUAAUGGAUACGGAAAGUACCACACAUACCAUUGGAAAGAAAUGAAACUCAUCUCAGUUCGCAAAAUUUCUUCUCGCUGGGGUUUUCACUUUCCAUGUGAUCAUGGAUACAGAUCACCCAGGUAUGGAUGAAGCUAUUGGCAGCCUGAUCCAGUGGCUGGAAAACCUGCCCCCCCAGGGCAGGGGGAAUGGAACUAAUCUUUAAGGUUCUCUCCAUGAUUUUGUUUUCAUGCUUCCAUGAUUGUACGAUGCAACCUAUACUUGCAAGAUGCAGAGGAGAUGACAGUAACAUCAAAUGUGAAGGAGAAAGCAGACUGAAGACUACAAUUUGACUUGAUGACUUUACACUAGCAGUCUAUGAUUUCUUAUCAGGCUGUCAUUCAGUAACACUUUUGAAUGAAAAACUCGCAUUUUAAAUACCCUAGGAAGUUGUCUACAAUUCAGUCAAUUAUAAACUAAAACCUUUAUUUUGCUGUGUUUCUGCUGCUUCCAUCCCAAUUCCAGUAGUAACUGCAGUAUUUUCCCAGUAUGUAGGCAACAGUUUUAUCGUAUUACUGAUAAAUAUGAAUUAUUUAUCCCUUACCAAAAUUCAUUUUACUGAAACAAUCCAUAGAAUUGAUUAAAAAACAAAAACAAAAAAACCCCAACAAAACAAAAACAAACAACACCAUGAGCUAGGCUGGAGGUAUUCUCUUUUAGUGAAAAUGAGUUGCUUUCACACAGGCACAAGAAAAACCCAACGCAGUAAGGAUUACCAGGAGAACAAGCAGUGGCUUCUGCAGGUAGACAAGCAAUGUGACCACUGACUGGAAAGAAGGCAGCUUUGCAGUAUUACCAUUGCUCUGGAAAUAUUCUUUUAUCCAGUCGCCCCUUCAUGCAUGAUAUGCAGACAAGCUUUGUAACAAAGUCUGGAAGUCCAGCUUUCCCUUUUGAAUUUGACAUUAGUAUGCUUUAUUCAACGAGUGAAUUGUCUGCAUAUUUAUGAAGCAAGUACUCACUUCUAUGUCAAAUACAAAGCCUGAUCCUUUUGCUUAGUGUGAGCCAAGCACAGCUGUUGCAUUUGGGGACCAUACACAUAAGAAUGUCCAGUUACCUUUUCCUUGCAGGGCUUUGGCUUUUCUUAAAUGGAGUGAAUCAUUUCCAAAGCAAAAACUGAAGUACUAUAUGAACUUCUAACAGGUAUAUAAUUCUCUAUAUGCAUUAGCAAUUUUGCAGAAUUUUUUGUUUGUAAGCACAAUUCAAAUGCCGAAGUUCACAUUCUUAAAGUUUACUCAUUACAUACUAGAUUAGAAAAUCUUACAGAUCCUGCCACUCUACACCGCAAUUCCUUAUUUGUACAGCUGAUGUUGUUUGUAUGUUAAACAUAUACUGUGUGUUAUAACAUGUUAAUAUAUUAACAAAGGGAACCAAAUAGAUGCAUUGUAUGGACACAUAAUUUUUUAAUAGAAUCUGACUGGCUCAAAAGCCACCAUGUUACUAAAAUCAUCAAUAAUGAAGAUUCUACAUUACUUUAGAUCCUAUAAUUUUUAACAUCUAAAGUUAAUGAGACAAAAAGCUAUAGGAAAAUGGUAAUUACCAUGUAGAAGUGACACAAAUAAAGUAAUCUGGUUGAAAUAAACACUGCUCAUGGCCUCUCAAGAAUAAAAUCUUUUUUUCUGGUGUGGAAAGGCCAAAUUAGAUAAACAUUCAUUUCAAUUUGAAAGGCAGAAGAUUCUUCUCUACCAUUUAGUACUUACCUGUAGAAGUAUGUAAUUUGAUGUUGAGAGUAAAGAUGCUUACUUAACAGUAUUAGUUUGACAGUAUUUAUGUGUUGUUGUGGUUUUUCUGAAACAGAUAUAACAAAUUAUCAUUAGUGUAUCAUAAGUACUCUUCUGUUAGAAGAGCUGCAUUUUCAAAUAAAUACAGACCCACCCUAACUAUGAGAAGUCAUUCUGAACAUCUUUUAUGGCAUAAUAGCACUGUUGAGUUUGGACACCUGCCAUUUAAGAGUAUAUACUUACCAUUUGAUGAAAGCCUUCCUAACUGAGAAGCUUUUUACCACUAGAGGGCUCAACAUUGCUGCAUGAUUUUGUGUAUGAAUACAUGGAUAAGAAUACAUAUAUAAGCAUGUAAAAUGUACAUCAUUAUUGAGAAUGUGCUUUAUUUUUGUUCACAUAUAUACAAAAAUGCAUUAAUGUGCAUAGAUGUACAUGCUUGUUUUAUAAUAGGUCACUUUGCUUUUAUUAUAAAGGCUUUGUGAAUUAAGAUGAAAUUCCAAACAUUUUAAAGAGAACUUAGUAUAAUCACUAUACAAAGGAGAGAUGUUUAAUUUCAUAAAAUAAUUACAAUCUUCAGCUUUGUUUUCAAAUGUCAGGAUUCACAAAGAAUAUUAUUUCACUAAACUGAAUGCUGAAAACAAUCAUAAUAAAACAUAAUUCAAAUUUCAAUUCAA